rnacentral:rRNA from 1 species
AUUGAACGCUGGCGGCAGGCCUAACACAUGCAAGUCGAGCGGAUGAAGAGAGCUUGCUCUCUGAUUUAGCGGCGGACGGGUGAGUAAUGCCUAGGAAUCUGCCUGGUAGUGGGGGAUAACGUUCCGAAAGGAACGCUAAUACCGCAUACGUCCUACGGGAGAAAGCAGGGGACCUUCGGGCCUUGCGCUACCAGAUGAGCCUAGGUCGGAUUAGCUAGUUGGGGAGGUAAUGGCUCACCAAGGCGACGAUCCGUAACUGGUCUGAGAGGAUGAUCAGUCACACUGGAACUGAGACACGGUCCAGACUCCUACGGGAGGCAGCAGUGGGGAAUAUUGGACAAUGGGCGAAAGCCUGAUCCAGCCAUGCCGCGUGUGUGAAGAAGGUCUUCGGAUUGUAAAGCACUUUAAGUUGGGAGGAAGGGCAGUAAGUUAAUACCUUGCUGUUUUGACGUUACCGACAGAAUAAGCACCGGCUAACUUCGUGCCAGCCGCCGCCGUAAUAC